GAGAUAAAUAUUCCAGCGUACUAAACGGAGAGACAGCCCUAUAUACUCUGUCCUACAGUCUACAGCAUUCCCCUGCCUUUUACCCACCCCCUAUAAUAUACACCCCACUACAAACAUUCAAAAGCACCAUCAGAAUCAAAUCAUUGUUAUCAUCAUGCGGUUUUCAUGUCACCACUAAAACUUAUUUGGAACUAAGAAUUCACUUCUUUUUGAAUCUUCCCCUCAAUAAGAGGCUGAUAUUCAGGGAAUUAAUUAGCUGAAUCAAGAUGGAGGAGAAGCUUCCAGCUUUGAGGGGAAUGUUGUCUGGCUCGAAGUCAUUAUCUCUUCUUGAUUUUAAAAGUACAAUGAAUUCAAUACUAAAUUUUUUAUAGAUUGAAUUCAUCAAAUUAAAAUUUUAAAAUCCGCCUAUAUAUGAUCAUGAGAUAGUGUCUUCGGACCAGGCUUCAUUCCCCCCAAUUUGGAAACAAAAUUGCAGCUCCAUAUUGUGUCUCUGUUGGUGUCGGUUUAUUUCCUGAAGCAACAGGUGAGAGCUCUUUUAUAUCUAGUGCUGAUUGGGUUUUGUGAUUUUUUCUUCUAGGUAUUUGAUUAGAAUAGACUUACUAAGGUAUAAUUAAAGUGCACGUGUAUUCGGAUUUUGGGUAUAUAAAAGAUCUCUUCCUGUUCUUGGGUUUAAUUUGCAUGCAAAUUCAGGAUUUUACCGACAGGGAUUGUUGGAGUAAUAAUGGUUUUGACCCUUUUUGGCCAAUUAUUCUGUAAUUGGGGCUGUAGACUAGAGAUCUCAUUAUGACUGUCAAGACCAGUCUCUGUUCUUUUUGUAUCAGGUGUUAUAAUUUUCAACCCUAGUUAUCAUGGUCGUGUAAUUUGUUUGUCUCUGUCUCACUUGAGGCUUUCUAUUGGAUUCCAUCAUUGAGUACUGAUAGGUUCCAUAUGCUUCAAUGAUGGCAAAAACCUUCUGAUCUACUACUUGAUUUUGUUUUCAUGUGUAUUUUUUUUUUUCUUUUAGGGUUUCUGUACAGAAAGGUUUAAGUCCCUUUAUUUACCCAGAAAACGAAGUAGGAAGUUCAUAUACCCAGCUGUUAAAAUAUUAGGCGGAGCUUUGAUAAUAUCAGAAGGCAUAUAUAUAAAGAGAAUAGAAGAGGGAGAUAAACACCAAGCUCAAUUAUAUUAUUCUUAAGAACUUCACUCUUACCAAAAUAACGUUACUAAGCAGGCUUAUAGGUGCAAAUAGAGUCUUUUAGACUAAUAUCUAUUAAAUUUUUUCACACACAAUAUAAAUUUAGCCUCCUUGAAAACAUAAUAUUAUUGUACCAAAUUUAUACAAAAGACAAUGACGGGUAAUAACAAACAUACAUCAACUAAUUCUAGAUUAUUUAAAAUUAUAUUUCUAACAGCAACUGGAGAUUAGAAUUAAAUGGAUAUUUUCUGGACAGAACUCCCCAUGAUCUGAUCUUUAAUUUACUUUGUGAUGUGCAAUGAAGUGGUACAGAUAGGGAAAACUUUUCCUUUUAAAUGGUGAAUAGAAAAUUAAUGCAACUCGAAGAAACAACUCAUAUAUGUCUGAUCUACCUAACUACAUUACAUAACAAUUACUACUACUCUAUACUAUAUACUAAUUUUAGUGAUACUACCAAGACUAGGUUUCUCUGAGCUGUAAUUUGCCUUUUGGUAUGCACAUGCUAUGGCAUAUAUAUAUAUUAAAAUCGUGUGAACUGUAGUGGAGUGUAUCGUGCUGUGGAGAUUUUAUGGAAGAUGACAUUCUGCAGUAUGGAUUCUGCACCUUAUUUCUUUCUUUCAUAUUGAGAGUAGUUUAUCUGGCAUUUGUGCAUAUAGCUUUCCGUUUACGAUAAACUACUAUGUGCAGCUUUUUCGUAUCUCUUUCUAAGCAAGAGCACUCUAUUUUAUGGUAAGCAUUGUUGGUUUUCACUCCGAAAAGAAAAAGGAAAUUCUAUUUUGAUAAUCUUCCUGGUAAUUGUGAGAUUCUUUUUGUUCAAUUAUGUGAUCAUUUCAUCUAAAAAUUUAAGUGAUUAUAAAAAUAUAAGUUUUAUUUUCUUACGUUAUAUUUUCAACACCCCCUCACAUGAUUUUUUUAUGCGCCGAACACAUGCAUCCUUUUAACAGUGGCAUAGUGGGUGGCUCGAGACUCGAACUCAAAAUUACUACGUGCACUAAUGUUAUAUUAAACAGUGUGAUCAUCUCAUGUAAAAGCAUACUCACUCUGUCCCAGUUUAUGUAACACUCUCUUCUUUUUAGUCAAUCGUAACAAGAUUGAUCUCUUAUUUAUAUAUUUAGUAACAAUUUGAUUUAGAACUUCUCAUUUUAUCUUUAAUGAAAUGAUUUACAACUAUAGAAAUUUAUUAGGCUUGCUUUAAACUAUAAGUUUCAAAAGUGUUUCCAUUUCUCUUAAAUUUUUUGUCCAGUCAAACAUCUUCACGUAAAUUGGGAGGAAGUGAGUACUAUAUUUAUUAGAUAAAACUCAAUUUUGUUAACUUAUUUAUAUCUUCUAACACACUUCAUUAAUUUGUGUAUCUUUCUCCCUCCUUGAGAUCUGAGACAACAUCAGAUCAGUAGGUAUGUUUUACAUAUAACCUGAAGUUUGACGAUUUCCAUACCCCUUAGAAAGUGGGUUAAUGCUGACACAAGAAUUGCUUUGGCAAAUACGCUCGCUCUGGUCUCUUCAAAGUAUAUCCACAGAAUUCUUUCUACCUGUAGUUUUUUGCAUGAUAAGUAAAUGAAAAAUCUGUGUUAUUUACUACAGUAGUCUUUUGCAUGAUCAAGUCAAUUAAUAAUAGUACUUGUCUGAGUUGGAAUUGAGAGCUCGGGAAAGGCUUUAAGAUGGGGACAGAUAAAUGUCAGUGUACUGGAAGUGAACUUGACAACACAUGCACUUGACGGCAAAUUAAAGCUCGGUGCAGGUGCAGUAACUUACUGAUCAGUUUUUUACUCACUGGUUUCUCUCUGUGCGUUUACAGAAUGGCUGCGUCCUCUGAUGAGAUAUAUGCACGACGACAAUGCUACAUAUAAGGCUAAGCUAGCUAGGAAUGACUGCACUCCUAUAUAUAAUCUGAGUUUCAUUCCAUGUUCAAAGAAUAAAUAUGAACAUUCUUGCUCUAUUCUUUAUUCGGCGCUCCAUUCCCGUGAUUUGUAGUAAGGAAAUGAUCGACUUGCAUACUGGGUUUUUUGUUUUGUCGGCAUCGACGUAUCUCUAUGGCCCAGAAUUAUUCUGUCUGGUUACGGUAACAUGUGUACAUUAUUCCCCAAUUUGAUCUAAAAUCGUUUCAGUACCUUGACAUUACCUAGAAAAAACUUUGUUAUCUAUAGGUAGGGUGUAUACGGAUCGGGUUGGUGUGAGUUUUUCAAAUAUCAAACCAAACUAAUUAUAUCGGGUUUUUAAAUCGAUAAAUCAAAUCAAACCAAUAAAAGUCGGGUUUUUCGACUUCGGGUUUUUUUGGAUGAUUUUUUUCCGAAAAAAUCUUCAUACAAAAUAGUAUAACUUUUAUUUCAGAUAUUUCUUUAGUCGUUGUAAGAUACAACUAUAUAAUUAAGGUGUUUCUUAAGAAAACAACAAAAAUGUGAAUGAGCGAUGACACUGUAAUAAAAUGUUCAAUAAAAAAAUAAUGAAAUAAUAUAAAAUAAAUAUUGCUAAUUAAUAAGACAUAAUGAAAAUGAUCAUCAUCUAAAAAUACUAAGUCAUGCUAAAAUAAGUACGGCUAAUAAGUAAUAUUUACAUGACAAAGAAAAAAAAUUAAGUUGUUUUUUAUCGUCUAAAUUAACAAUGCAAAACUAAAGAAUAGAUAUCCAAUAUUAUUGUCAUUCUAGUGUUAGGAUUGAACCACUUUUACACAUAAGAGAUCUGAAAAAAAAAACACAUAAAGAUCUAAAAGAGUCAUUCUUCUAUUCAAAGAGACCGAGAUAUCUUAUUUCCUCUUUUGUUAUAAGCAUUAAUAUUGAUUUGUUUUUUAUUUGGACUUAUUUGAGUUACUAAUAUCUAUGGGGCUAUAAAACUUAUUGGAACAUUCAAAAUUCUAAUUCCAAACUUGAAAUAAUAUGUUAAAGACGAAAACU